rnacentral:rRNA from 1 species
UGGGGAAUAUUGGACAAUGGGCGAAAGCCUGAUCCAGCCAUGCCGCGUGUGUGAAGAAGGUCUUCGGAUUGUAAAGCACUUUAAGUUGGGAGGAAGGGUUGUAGAUUAAUACUCUGCAAUUUUGACGUUACCGACAGAAUAAGCACCGGCUAACUCUGUGCCAGCAGCCGCGGUAAUACAGAGGGUGCAAGCGUUAAUCGGAAUUACUGGGCGUAAAGUGCGCGUAGGUGGUUUGUUAAGUUGGAUGUGAAAGCCCCGGGCUCAACCUGGGAACUGCAUCCAAAACUGGCAAGCUAGAGUACGGUAGAGGGUGGUGGAAUUUCCUGUGUAGCGGUGAAAUGCGUAGAUAUAGGAAGGAACACCAGUGGCGAAGGCGACCACCUGGACUGAUACUGACACUGAGGUGCGAAAGCGUGGGGAGCAAACA